UUUCUGGCCCCUCCUUCCAAGACUAAAGGCACAGCAGUUCUGAGACCUCAGACGACCUCACCCGCAAAGCGAGCUGGAUGCAUAUCCACACCCACCUCGGGCUGUAGAGAUGAAGAUGCAGAGACUCAGCAGUGAAGGGGGUCAAGAGCAAGUAUAUCUAGGGGGAAAAAAAGAAGAAGAAGAAGAAGAAGCAUGUCUUCUGAGAAAAAAAACUGUGUGUCUCAAAAAUUCAGCUUGACGAAUUUCACAGACUGACCACACUUUUGCAACCAGCACUAAGAUAGAACAUCUCAGAAACAAAGAGCUUCCCCAUUGCCACGGGCCACUGGUCCCCCCGCAAGAGUAACCACUCUCCAGACCCUGACACCCUUGCCUGGCUUUGAACUGUAUAUAAAUGGGAUGAAAGUAUAUGUUCUCUUUAGUGUCUGACUUUUCCUGCUGACGUUACUGUUGAUAUAUCCUUCUGUAUUGCUACAUGAGGCUGGCAUAGUUUUUUAUCUUUUUUUUAUCACCAAGUAGAAUUGCCACCACCACCACUCAGCGCUCCCCGCAUCCUCCACCCGCCACUCCAGGCAUUGCAGACACUGUCAGUCUUGGCACUUAGCAACAGUGCCACCGUCUAAAUCCCAGCACCUCUGUUUGGUGAACAAAAGCACAUGUUUCUGUUCAGCAUGAACUUUGAGUGGACUCAGGAAUCACAAAGCAAGUCUGUGUACAGCUUUUUAAAAACUUUUGAGGCGUUCCCGUCGUGGCUCAGUGGAAAUGAAUCCGACUACCAUCCAUAAGGACACAGGUUCAAUCCCUGGCCUCGCUCAGUGGGUUAAGGAUCCAGCGUUGCUGUGAGCUGUGGUGUAGUUCGAAGACACAGCUUGGAUCUGGCAUGGCUGUGGCUGUGGCAUAGGCCAGAGGCUAUAGCUCCAAUUCGACCAGUAGCCUGGGAACUUCCAUAUGCCACAGGUGCAGCCCUAAAAAUAAAUAAAUAAAUAAAUAAAUAAAUAAAUAAAUA
rnacentral:lncRNA from 1 species